rnacentral:rRNA from 1 species
GAUGAACGCUAGCUACAGGCUUAACACAUGCAAGUCGAGGGGAAACGACAUCGAAAGCUUGCUUUUCAUGGGCGUCGACCGGCGCACGGGUGAGUAACGCGUAUCCAACCUGCCCAUCACUUGGGAAUAACCUUGCGAAAGUAAGACUAAUACCCAAUGACAUCCCACGAAGACAUCUGAAUGGGAUUAAAGAUUUAUCGGUGAUGGAUGGGGAUGCGUCUGAUUAGCUUGUUGGCGGGGUAACGGCCCACCAAGGCAACGAUCAGUAGGGGUUCUGAGAGGAAGGUCCCCCACAUUGGAACUGAGACACGGUCCAAACUCCUACGGGGGGCAGCAGUGAGGAAUAUUGGUCAAUGGGCGAGAGCCUGAACCAGCCAAGUAGCGUGCAGGAUGACGGCCCUAUGGGUUGUAAACUGCUUUUAUAAGGGAAUAAAGUGGGUCUCGUGAGACUUUUUGCAUGUACCUUAUGAAUAAGGACCGGCUAAUUCCGUG